GUUGGGCGCGGUGGCACGUGCCUGGAGUCCCAGCUACUCGGGAGGCUGAGGUGGGAGGGUCCCUUGAGCCCAGGAGUUCUGGGUUGUAGUGCGCUAUGCCGAUCUGGUGUCCGCACUAAGUUCGGCAUCAAUAUGGUGACCUCCCGGGAGCGGGGAACCACCAAGUUGCCUAAGGAGGGGUGAACCCGCCCAGUGGGAAACGGAGAAGGGCAAAACUCCCGUGCUGAUCAGUGAUGGGAUCGCACCUGUGAAUAGCCACUGCACUUCAGCCUGGGCAAGAUAGCAAGACCCUGUCUCU
rnacentral:SRP_RNA from 1 species